CCUGCCAGUUCUCUGCUGCCUUGUUCAUCACCCAAAAGGGGCCUUUUGAUGGAAACAUUACUAGCAGGUCACCUCUUGGUCCUCCCCAUCAAUUACCGUGGUUGAGGUAAGUCUGACUCCUGCAGCUCCAUAGAAUAAAUGAGGAUAUUGGGCGAAUAACUCGGAUACGCCUGUUGAUCUGAACAACAGGGUGUUAUCAAAGUCCAUUGGAUUGUUGCUGGAACAGGGGAUAUCACAGAUUUAGGGCUUUAAUUGAAUGUCACUGCUGAAAAAGCUAAGGACCCACAUCCCUGUCUCCCCAAAACCAGCAGAACAGGGGGGCGCGGGAAGCUCUGAACACAAAUCAAUAGUGUUCAGUCAGAGUAGGAUCGUAAAGCUUCAAAAGUAAUAUCGAUCUGCUCACAACUUCACGCAAACCCAGCGGGGCCCCCAGCAGGUCCCCCACCUACAAGCUUCUCAGUUCCGAGUCCUGGGCGAGGGAGCACCCACACCCGGGCCCUUCCCGCGGGCUGCCCGGAAAGCCCGGAGCGCGGAGCCGGAGCGACCCUUCGCGGCCGGGGACGGGCAUGCUCAGUAGCCCCUCAGGUCCUGUUUCACUGGGAAGCCGGCCGCGGCCCCCACCCCUCCCGCCUGUCUCGGGCGCCAGGAGAAGCGGACAUUUUAGCCUCCUCUGCAAUCCGCUCUCGUUCGUGUCCUUCUCCCCCUCUCGUCCGCUGCAAUGCCGGAAUUUUAAAUAGAGAUGAAAGGCCCCUGCCCCCGCCUCCCUCCUCCCCUGAGUUCAUGUAUUAUGAAUGAAACGCCAGCCUCGCUGCUUCCUGAGGUGCUCCACUUCAGAGAUAGCAGUGGCACCGUCCUGAGGCUAUUGGAGAAAUGUGAGAAAUGGAACACAGCCAGGAACAGGGGAGACAAGCACAGACGGGUAGCCCUGACACCUUUCAGACUCGGAAGUGCCUGCCAGCAGAGACCAACAUCUUCUCAGCUAAAAGGUCAAACUUGCUCCAGACAGCUUGAAGGCUUCCCAGGUAUGAUCUUAAGACUUCAUCUGGCUGGGCAUGGUGGUUCAUGCCAGUAAUCUCAACACUUUGGGAGGCUGAGGCAGGAGGACUGCUUGAGGCCAGAAGUUCAAGACCAGCCUGGGCAACAUAGCAAGACCCCAUCUCUACAAAAAAUUAAAUUAGCCAGGUGUGGUGGUAUGUGCCUGUAGUUCUAGCUACUGGGGAGGCUGAGGCAGGAGGAUCACUUCAGCCCAGCAGGUAAAGGUUCCAGUGAGCUAGGUUUGUACCAUUGCACUCUAGCCUGGGUGACAGAGUGGCACCCUGUCUGGAAAAAAAAAAAAAAAAAAAAGACUUCAUUCCAACUGUGUCUGUCUCAUCCAUACCCUGCCUCUGAUUUCCCCUUGCUCAUCAACUACAGACAGCCACAUUACUCUCUGCCUCCCUGAUUUUUGCCUGCUUGGUUGUGACAGUUUUGGGUCAGCCCUGAGGCUUCCACUCAGAGAUCUUUAGUCCUCUGACCGUGCCUUUUGCUCCAAUGUAUAUACCAUCACGAUUUUACAUUUACAUAGGCUAAUUUAUGACAGCCAGUACUUACGUAGCAUUUACUUUGUGUCAGGCACUUUUGUAAGCACAAAAUUAUGUUUACUUAGAGCAGAGGAAAGUCAUGUUUCCUCAGAUGAGUGCAUCAAUCCUGGACAGCUUGUUAAUUACAGAAAUCCCAGAGUUUCUGAUAAUAGGUCUGGAGUGGUGCCUAAGAAUUUGUGUUUAUAGCAGUGUUGAUGCUUCUGGUCCAGGCACCAUACUUUGAGAACCUGUGUUAUAGAAUGUCAGAUAACCUGUAGGUAGACUUGUUAGAAAAUGCUCUUGUAUGACAUUGGAAAGACAUGCAGUAAUCUUUUUUACUUUACUUUCAUCUUGGAUGGUUUUCCUUAACAGAGGAAAAGCUGAACUGAACUAUUCAUUAUAGUUUUCUUUCAAGGGCUGGAUAUUGAUCAUAGCACUCUGGAACUGGAGUAUCAGGUGUUUCUUAGGGGCUUCAGCAAUUGGACUUUAGAGUGGAGGGAGAGGCUAGGGAAAUGCACCACCACAGGUGAGUACCUGCUAUGUGUCAGGCACUGUAUUGGGCACUUGGCUGCCAUAAUUAUCUCAUGGAGUCAAUCACUCAGUGGCGUUGUUAUUAUUCUCCCAUUUUGCAGAUGAGGAAACCAUGACCGUGGCUUAGAGGGCAGAGGGUCUCCAGCAGGGCUUCCCAGUUGGUAUGCUGGAAUGCAUAAUGAAUGUAUGCUGAGCUAUUGAUCUUCUCAGUGCUAGUGGUGCUGGGAUGGGGCCCAAGGUGCCUGGAGCAUCCUGCCCCUGUCAGUUUACUCCCUGGGUACUCUGGCCACAGGACAGACCCUCAAUGAGCUCAGAUCCAGGGGUAGAUACUGCUCCUCUAUCCUCUGACACUCACAGCUCUGCCGGUGAGGGGCAGGACUCAAGGAGUCCUCAGGAGCCUGCUCAUGGUCAAGGGCAGCAUUCCUGGAGGUGGAAGGCACUCAGGAUUAAGGUUGAGGGGCUACACUGGCAAAAACCUUCUGGGUACCUUUGGGGAAAGUAGACUCCCUUUCAGGUAUGGAAACAAAAGUUCUCUGAUGAUGCUUGUGCACCAUACCUUAGGCUACAGCUAAGAGAAGGGAAAACAGGACCCUCAGUCAUUCCAGCUCCGUAGAGCUGCCUCUCAGUGAGGAUGAAAGGUUGUCAGACUUUGUCCUUGGUGAACUGUGACAGAACUGAAGAUUUAUGACCCAUAUUUUAAUAGUUUCUUGAUUGGAUGGUUGGAGCUCCCUAUAAUCUUUAUCUGCUAGCUAAGUAGUUUGUGUCUGCACCAGGCCCAAAUGCUGUAGCCAGACUCCUGGAGAGUCAAUGGCCAUAUAUGUUGGGGAAAGGCUUAAGUAACUCAAUUGACUUUCAGUUGUUGAAAGCAUUGAUUUUUUUUUUUUUAAUUGCACUUAUGGUUUAAGACCCAAAAUAGCUUUGGACAAUAGAGCACAGGUUGCACUAUUAGUUCUUUAGGCAACUCUUGACAUAUUCUGCCCUCUAAAAGGGCCAGUUACUACAUUGGUUAAUAUAUUAGGAGCUUCCAGUUCAGGCCUAAGAUUUUCAUUGAUAUGACUUGAGGACAAUUGAUGCUUAGAUUCUUCCAUUGGGAAGGUAACUUCAGGAGAUUCUCAUGUCUCCACAAAGGUUCCAGGAGAUAUUCUGCACAAGUAAGUCAUGUCUGGGGAGUUUUGCAGCCUCUUCUGUUUUGAAUGUGAUCUGUGAUCUGCUGGCCUUUUCUGUUUCCCUAGGGACUUUUGCCCUCAGAAACUUGCUACCAGCUUGUGCUGUGGGGAAAGGAAGGCAUUUUCCAGGGAGACCAGUCAUUCUUCAUGUUUGUAUAGUGCUUUCCACUCUUUAGUGUUACAGAGAACAUUAAAAUAUUUUAGGCUAAUCCUGCUUUUAGAAAUGAAGAAUUGAGGUCUAAGGAGGCUAAGUGAUUAUCCGAAAUGUCACAACAGGAGCCAAGGCCCAUGAUUAUAAAUCCAGGGUUCUUGCCAGGAUACAAGACUAAUCUAUUUAUGCGUAGGGGAUACAGGCUCCACUAGGUCCAUUGAGACACGCUCUUAUUAAGUUUAUACAGGUAUGUUACUUCUCUGCUAUCUUCAUGUGUAGGAUUGGGAUAGGGAGACAAGGUCACACUCAAAUGAGAGUGUGGGAGAGCAACCACAGCUCCCUUGCCUCUCCUGUGGCAGGUCCGAGAAGGCUAUGGAGAGGUGCCCCUUUUCCCAUCAUUCCCCCCAAGUUGGAAAGGAGUUCAGGAAACCAAAGCUAAUGGAAUCAAUGUUAAAUAGAUUAGCUCUUUCAUUGGCUUAAGUGGUCCAGCUGAAGAAAUGUUUGGGAACAAGACACCAGAGAGGCAAGGUACUUACACAAUUAAAAUAUAAAGAAUAUAAAGAUUGUGACUGAGUGGCCUGUCUCUUUGAGGUGACUGUUAAAUGAAGGGCAGCCGUAUGUACUGACAAGGUAAAACCAGAGCUGGACAGUAACUGAAGUGGUAAAAACAGGUUUCUGUUCAUGACUAUCUCACUAGGGGAAAAGAGAUCACAGUAUAGAACUGGAUUCAAUUCUGAAUAUGGCAUGGGCAAGUGGGAAUUUCUAGCCAGG
rnacentral:lncRNA from 1 species